rnacentral:rRNA from 1 species
GACGAACGCUGGCGGCGUGCUUAACACAUGCAAGUCGAACGGAAAGGCCCUGCUUGCAGGGUACUCGAGUGGCGAACGGGUGAGUAACACGUGGGUGAUCUGCCCUGCACUUAGGGAUAAGCCUGGGAAACUGGGUCUAUUACCGGAUAGGAGACAUUUUUAGUGUGAUGGUUGGAAAGUUUUUUCGGUGUUGGAUGAGCUCGCGGGCUAUCAGCUUGUUGGUGGGGUAAUGGCCUACCAAGGCGGCGGCGGGUAGCCGGCCUGAGAGGGUGGGCGGCCACACUGGGACUUAGAGACGGCCCAGACUCCGACGGUAGGCAGCAGUGGGGAAGAUUGCACAAUGGGCGCAAGCCGGAUGCAGCGGCGCCGCGGGUGGUAUGACGGCCUUCGGGUUGUAAACUCCUUUCACUAGGGACUAAGCUUUUUGUGACGGUACCUAGACAAGAAGCACCGGCUAACUACGUG